rnacentral:rRNA from 1 species
GACGAACGCUGGCGGCGUGCUUAACACAUGCAAGUCGAACGGAAAAGCCCGCUUUCGGUGGGUUCAUCGGCUACCGGACGAGUAACACACGGGUAACUUGCCUUCCGUUGACUGUUAGCUACACGAACGUCGGCCGGAUGACUCAUACGACCGAUGUCCGGAUGCUCGUUAGGUGGAACAAUUUGUCGGCUGGGGAUGGACUCGCGGCCUAUCAGCUUGGUGGUGGGGGAGUCGCUUACCAAGGAGACGACGGCUAGCCGGCCUGAGAGGGUGACCGGCCACAGUGGGACUGAGAAACGGCCCAGACUCCUACGGGAGGCAGCAGGGGGGAAUAUUGCACAAUGGGCGGAAGCCUGACGCAGCAACGCCGCGUGCGGGAUGACGGCCUUCGGGUUGUAAACCGCUUUCGCCGGAGACGAAGCGUGAGUGACGGUAAUGGAAAAAGAAGCACCGGCUAACUACGUG